AACGGUCUAUACCUGCGGUACCUGCGGAAGGAUCAUUAUUGAAUUUACUUGAUGGGUUUGUAGCUGGCCCUUGGGGCAUGUGCACGGCCUGUCUUGACUUUAUUCAUCCACCUGUGCACCUCUUGUAGUCUUUUGGGGGCUGAUGGAGCAGUUAACUCAGUCGCAAGGCUGGAUGUGAGGACUGAUUGACCAUGUCUCGGUUUAAUCUCUCUUCUGUGCUGUGAUGUCUCCCUUGAAAGA
rnacentral:misc_RNA from 1 species